UACGUAGGGUGCGAGCGUUAAUCGGAAUUACUGGGCGUAAAGCGUGCGCAGGCGGCUAUUUAAGCUUGCUGUGAAAGCCCCGGGCUUAACCUGGGAACUGCAGUGAGGACUGGAUGGCUGGAGUGUGGCAGAGGGGGGUGGAAUUCCACGUGUAGCAGUGAAAUGCGUAGAGAUGUGGAGGAACACCGAUGGCGAAGGCAGCCCCCUGGGCUAACACUGACGCUCAGGCACGAAAGCGUGGGGAGCGAACAGG
rnacentral:rRNA from 1 species